GGGGAAUUUUCCGCAAUGGGCGAAAGCCUUGACGGAGCAAGACCGCGUGAGGGAGGAAGGCUCUUGGGUUGUAAACCUCUUUUCUCAGGGAAGAAGCUCUGACGGUACCUGAGGAAUCAGCCUCGGCUAACUCCGUGCCAGCAGCCGCGGUAAUACGGAGGAGGCAAGCGUUAUCCGGAAUUAUUGGGCGUAAAGCGUCCGCAGGUGGCGAUUCAAGUCUGCUGUCAAAGCACGGGGCUUAACUCCGUUAAGGCAGUGGAAACUGAAUAGCUAGAGUGCCGUAGGGGUAGAGGGAAUUCCCGGUGUAGCGGUGAAAUGCGUAGAGAUCGGGAAGAACAUCGGUGGCGAAAGCGCUCUACUGGACGGCAACUGACACUCAGGGACGAAAGGGCUAAGGGGAGCGAAUGGGAUUAGAUACCCCAGUAGUC
rnacentral:rRNA from 1 species